ensembl:lncRNA
CUCUCUCUUGCUGUCUCUCCCCUUCUCUCUCUCUCUCUCUCUCUCUCCUUCUCCGAAAACGGGGGAUUGCACGCCACCCUGAGCCUCCCUGAGAAGCGGACAUAUGGGGGAAUCAGCCAUCACACAACACGCUGUUUCGCCGAGCCCCGAGUCGGAGCACAAGCCACCACAGACGUCACAAUAUUUUUCUUUCUCCCUCUGUUUCCUCUGACCGCAGAUUCUUCGAUGGUUCCACGGCGGCGGCAGAGGCCGUUGCUAUUUUCUGACAGACUAAAUUACCCAUACAGCCUCUUUUUUCUUUUUUUGAUUAUGUGCCGGACAGCAGAACAGCAGAAUUUUGGGGCGCUGCAAAAUGCUAAUUUUUUUUUCUCUCUUUUUUUUUUUUUCUCCUCUUCAAGCCAGCCAGCCCUGCCUGCCUGACACCAUGACAGCAAUCGCAGCCGUCACAAGGACACCAUGAAGAGAGCAAUCUACCAUCCAGGGAUAUGAAUUUCUGAUCAGUGGCUGGCAAACUGCUGCAGAGGCUUACCGUAAUCCCAUUGGACAGCGCCGGCUGAUGAACACUGGGAAGCGGGCCGCCACAAUGGAGAAGAGCUCACAAUUGCAAGCAUCUGCCCAUAAUUUAAAACCAUGCAAGUGCAGGCGGUGGUGUGCUGCGAGACACGCAACAACAAGCUGUAAUUUAGCCACAGGAGCGGUUAUGUAGAUUACUCUAACUUGAGCUGCCCUUUUCAGGGGCUUUUUUUUUUUUAACUCACACCAUUUGCUUCAUUUUAAAUUACCAUUCUGUCAAACAACAGCCUCUGGACUGGAUGGGGGGGGGGGGAAGCACUGUUUAACAAACAGUUUUACAUACUUGCCACAGGGUCAAAUGCUACUUAAUCAAGUUACAUUCAGCUCACUCUGGGCAGUGCAAAAGGUCUCAGCUAAUACAAAAACAGGUUAUUAGCAAAAAAAAAAUAAGGUGGGCGUUUUUUUAUUAUUGAGAGGACAGGUGGCUGAUUUCCAAUGACCACUCUAUUGUAAAAACACAAUGACUCAUCUUAAACCAUGCUGCAAUUUGCACAUUUUAAGGACAUUCUGGCAUUUCGAGCCUGGCAGACGCUAGCUUUCCACUGGUCUGAUGUAGCAUUCCUGACCCAUGAAGUGUUUAACUUGGGGGAGUCGACAAUUGUCUGCCGUGUGUCCGAAUAACCAUGGGACCUCCUGCGCACACAAUGGCAUAACACAGUUGACCGAUGCUACCAGGCAGUGUUAGCCUAAGGCAGACAGCACACCUCUUCAGAAAGGUCACAAGGUGUGUGCUGCGUGCUCACCUGCCCCAUUUAAUUUUGCAAAUGUUAUUUCACGUCUGAGCCAGAGCAUGGCAUGGCGUCUCCUAUGGUGUUUGCGACAUGUUCCCUUUCAUGAUGUUAAAAUAAAAAAAGGUGACGGGAGGUGACGGGGGCAGAGAGCAGGGGGGAGAAAAAGAAAUAUCAAAAAUCACACCUUGCACGCUGGCCGCUGUUCUUCAAAGGCAGUCCAGCUGAUUGAAUUUGCAAAAGGAUCCGGUUCUCUUAGAUGCUCACAUACUGGUACAGUUUACACUAGUUUCCCCAGAUCAGAACACUGAACUGGCUCCUGUAUCAAUCGACAAAUAGAGGAGAGCUUUUGAAAAUGUGUGUUCAAUUAAUUAUGUAUGGGUCCAAGUAAAGUUGUCAGCAUGCAUUCAAAAAGAAUUGUGUUCUUUUCAGAAAGAAAUGUGCUGGCAACAAAAUAACUUGAAAUAACACUUGUAAUCAGUUAGUGCACACACACACACACACGUGCCGGCAACUACAAAACAAAAUAUUAUUUUUAAUCAGUUAUUACUGCCAGCAUCAAUGCUGAGGUUAAAGAGUGAACUCUCCCUGCAGUGGAAUACUAAUAGACCUGUUUUCUAUUUACAGUGGCUUACAGCACACACACACACACACACAAACACACACACACACACACACACACACACACACACACACACUUACAGCAAAAUUCAACAAUAGAUUUACAACAUCUUUUUUUUUGUUUACUCCCGCAAAGCAGGCAACCUCCCCACCUAAUGUUUAACACACAGAAUAAGAGCAUAAGGUGGCUUUGAUCAAUCACCCGGUCUUUCUUGUGGGCUUUGGGGGGGAAAGCCGCUCAUAAUUAAUCACACAUUUCAGAGUUAUAGUUCAUUAUCCGACAGAGAGGCAGAAGGGCAGACUUCAUUUACAACAAAGCUGUGACACUUGGAGUAACAAAAUGUGUCGACUCACACAAGGCAGGCGGUGGGGGAUCUGAUCCAAAACACGGACCGCAAAAUUAUAACUAGCAGCACACUAAAACGGUUCGCCCAUGCUACGACGCACAUAAUGUGGUGUGCUGAAAUACGAGGCAGAUACCGUAUGUGGUGCUUUUCAGUGACAUAGUGGCCUGACGCCACGAAAACAACAUACCGUCCCACAAGUUGAACUUUUCAACUGCGUUGUGCAUGGAACAAUGGAAAACAGCAUGUCUUCUUUGCGGAGAAUCCUAUAAGUGGUGAGAAAUCAGAUUUCAGGAUAAUGACAGGCGCAGUGGUAAUGAGUGAGGCAUGUGUUUUUUUUUCCUGGAGCUUAGGUUUGACCACGCACACACACACACACACACACACACACACAC